rfam:Schistosoma rodhaini strain Burundi genome assembly, scaffold: SROB_scaffold0003565
AUCCAGUUGACGAGUCCCAAAUAUGACGGAACGUGCGUCCUGUAU